CCUACGGGGGACAGCAGUGGGGGAUAUUGCACAAUGGGGGAAACCCUGAUGCAGCGACGCCGCGUGUGGGAAGACGGUCCUCUGGAUUGUAAACCACUGUCCCCAGGGACAAAGAUGACGGUACCUGGGGAGGAAGCUCCGGCUAACUACGUGCCAGCAGCCGCGGUAAUACGUAGGGAGCGAGCGUUGUCCGGAAUUACGGGGUGUAACGGGAGCGUAGGCGGGACUGCAAGUUGGGUGUCAAAUCUACCGGCUCAACCGGUAGCCGCACUCAAAACUGCAGUUCUUGAGUGAAGUAGAGGCAGGCGGAAUUCCUAGUGUAGCGGUGAAAUGCGUAGAUAUUAGGAGGAACACCAGUGGCGAAGGCGGCCUGCUGGGCUUUUACUGACGCUGAGGCUCGAAAGUGUGGGGAGCAAACAGGAUUAGAUACCCGUGUAGUC
rnacentral:rRNA from 1 species